UACGUAGGGUGCAAGCGUUAAUCGGAAUUACUGGGCGUAAAGCGUGCGCAGGCGGUUGUGCAAGACGGAUGUGAAAGCCCCGGGCUUAACCUGGGAACUGCGAUGGAAACUAGCGAGCUGGAGUGUGGCAGAGGGGGGUGGAAUUCCGCGUGUAGCAGUGAAAUGCGUAGAGAUGCGGAGGAACACCGAUGGCGAAGGCAGCCCCCUGGGCUAACACUGACGCUCAGGCACGAAAGCGUGGGGAGCAAACAGG
rnacentral:rRNA from 1 species